AGAGUUUGAUUAUGGCUCAGGAUGAACGCUAGCUACAGGCUUAACACAUGCAAGUCGAGGGGCAGCAUGAACUUAGCUUGCUAAGUUUGAUGGCGACCGGCGCACGGGUGAGUAACACGUAUCCAACCUUCCGUUUACUCAGGGAUAGCCUUUCGAAAGAAAGAUUAAUACCUGAUAGUAUGGUGAGAUUGCAUGAUAACACCAUUAAAGAUUUAUUGGUAAACGAUGGGGAUGCGUUCCAUUAGGUAGUAGGCGGGGUAACGGCCCACCUAGCCUGCGAUGGAUAGGGGUUCUGAGAGGAAGGUCCCCCACAUUGGAACUGAGACACGGUCCAA
rnacentral:rRNA from 1 species